rnacentral:rRNA from 1 species
UACGUAGGGGGCAAGCGUUGUCCGGAUUUAUUGGGCGUAAAGAGCGUGUAGGCGGCCAUGCAGGUCCGUUGUGAAAACUGGAGGCUUAACCUCCAGACGUCGAUGGAAACCAUCUGGCUAGAGUCCGGAAGAGGAGAGUGGAAUUCCUGGUGUAGCGGUGAAAUGCGCAGAUAUCAGGAAGAACACCCGUGGCGAAGGCGGCUCUCUGGGACGGUACUGACGCUGAGACGCGAAAGCGUGGGGAGCGAACAGG